UGGACUUGACAUCCUAUAAAUGAUUUAGAGACAAAUCAGUGCUAGAGGACUAGAAUAUAGUGAC
rnacentral:rRNA from 1 species